UAAAGGUCAAACACUUAAUUCCCUAUUUCUAAGAAACAACAUGAGUUUCUAAUGAACUCAAAUGGAACUAGAAAGCCCACUAAUAAAAAAUCAAGCCAGUUCUCUUUUCCUAUUAUUGUUCCCAUACAUUAACAUCUGCUUGAACUGUUCUGUUGCUGGGACUCUGGUCUGUGA